CACACACACCAUCCUUCUCAUAACUCAGCAUUUCCAACAAAACAGACUGGUUUAUAAUAGAGUGUCGAUGGUGGUGGUGUUUUAACUCUAGAUGUUUUGUGGAGGCACAAAGGUGCCUGUGGUCAGAAAGAUCUUUCCCAUUUUGAUUAGUACCUUCAAACUGCCACUGCUUAUGUUCUUAUUGAAAUUUCCCAAAGCGCCAAAGUAGAAAAAUCUCUACAAGAGUGAAACUGUAUCCAAAUUAUUUCAUCUCCGACUUUGUCUUAUUCCUAAAUUUAUUCUACAGAAGCAAAUAUUCGGCAAUUUAACGGGAUAUAAUUCAAUCUAAAAUAUAGUACUUGAAAUUUAACGUUACCAAUAACAAAAUCAGUAUGUUUUUGAUACUCUAACACUGCUAAAUAUCCUACAGUAAAAUGCACUUAGAAGAGAAAAAAAAAUAAAGUCCUCUUUUCCUGAUUAUUGCAAGGUUAGAAUAAAAAUCACUUAAAUAUAAAUACUGGAGGGAAAUGUUGUUUGUAGUAAAUAAUGUAAGUGCACUCAUGCUGCAGACAAACAUCGCUCUGAAAUCUGCCCAGUUAACAACAGAGUUCAGAGCCUCGAUGCACACUUACACACCCUCCUUGUUAAAAUGCUGGAAAUCAAUUCCCUGCCCAAGAGGCAUUCAUGGUCCCAUAUUUAAAAUCAUGCAGCUUCACAAGGGGAACACUUAGAUCACCUGCAGAUGCUGUCAUGCAAAUUUAGCCUAUUAUUGAGCAUUUGUAGUUUAUGGACAAAAGAUCAGUAAAUUCAGUGGGUUACGCUGCUUAAGAAGGAUUAGGUUAUGAGACUAUAAAUGAGGUAGAAUUUUUACUACCUGGAAAUAGGGGAGAUAAAUUCAAGGUUUGUAGCUUACAAAUAUGUUGUAUUUAUAGUUAAGGGCGGCACAAUAGAAACUGAUGCCUACCGCUACCCGCCCACAAAUCUAUAACCAUAGCAUGUUAACAGGUUUGAACUAACGAAGGUUCAAAUAGAACGCAAUUUUCCUGGUUAACGCAUUUCAAAAGUAAGGGUGGUAACAAGCACCCAACAAGGAAAAGGAAAGGAGUUUUGCUAUUGUUGAUGGGUACCGUCUGAGACUUGAAUUCAGAGUAAGUCUAAAAUUCUAAUAUCGAAUUCUUCAGGCGAACACUACAUCCAGAUAUUUAACACUACACAUGUCAUCGUCACACAUGUGGAAUUGAUGCUACUAAAAUCAUGCUUGUGACCAGCCCAAUACCACAGUGGGAGUAAUGAACUUGCACCGUACGUUGUACAGUAUCACUUACUAACUGCAAUAAUAAUGAAAUUGCUUUUUAGUGGAAUGUGUCAAAGCUAAGUCAUUUCAUCUAAUAACCUAUUUUACUCAACUAUACAGUCUUCAAAUCUUGACCAUCUACAGUUAAGCACUGCUGGAAAUUCAAUAUGUAAAUAUAAUAGAUUAGCUCUAAGUGAUAAUGUAAAGUCACCUUCAAAUACAGCAUAAUCAAAUGCCAAAGUACUAUUACACUUUUAUAAUAAUUGAUAUAAUGGCAACAGGUUCUAUCUCACAAAGCCUACCCAUUUGGUGUCAUCAACAUGUGCAGAGUGAAAAUUACUACCAACGUUAGGUCCAUCUUUCAUCAGUAGUGCCUGGAACAGUAGAUGGUCCUUAAAUACUUGAUAUCUAUCUGACUGUUAACUGACAUUUUAGUGAGCUACUGUAAAACAAAUUACCCAAAUCUUUAAGAUACAUAUUAUUCCGAUGAGUUCUAUCAACAGAUACUGAGUUGAAAGAGCCUACUGGCAUCUCAAGUCUUCACUCCAGGUUAGGCACUGAAAGGCAAGUCAUCAGAAAGCUGUAUCCACAAGGUUACUACGUACACUUAGCACAUUAGUGGACCACAGUUGGCAGCAUUCAGACCUAAUCAGACAGUAUGUUAACCAAUGCUGCUGAGCAAUUAAUUUUGUUUGUGAGCUGGAAAUAAUUUAGAAUCAUUUUCAGAUUCUUUUCAUCUUGGCUGCCGUGAUUAAACAUACCAAAGAGCAAUGCAAAAUCAAAUUCCACAGGAUUUAUUAAGCAUUACCAUUAAAUACAAAGCACUGGCCUGGACCUUUCCACAUAAAUUAGUGAUUCUGAAGGCCAACCAGGUUUGGAAAACAACCUGCCACUGUUAGCCGAAGCUGUGCCUAGCUAGUGAUAUCAUUCCAGUGACAGACAACCUGAAAAAAGGCCACGCGUUUCAACUUUGAAGAGCUCUAGUUGCAAAUUCUUCCAUAAGCAGCCAAAAUCUGUACUCUAAGAAUGUCUACCCCUUCGACCUUUUUACAUCUUCCCAACAUGCCCUCUUGCUCUCCUAUAUAGAGAGCACAGCUCUUCACCAACAUGAAAACAGUUAUCAUUUCUCCAGUUCCAUCGAUUUAAAGUUGUCCACCCAUCAUCAAUCUUUCUGAUAGCAUCCCAUCUUUUAUCCUCCACAAAAUUUACAACUAAUGUAUCAUUUGUGUGUUCACUUUUUAUAGCCUGUGCUCUCUACUAGGACUCUUUCCAUGAGUUCAAGGAUCGUGGCCAUUUUGUGCAUCAUUGCACAGCCAGCACAUAAAACGUAGCAGGUACUCAAUAAAUAUUUGAUGGAUGAAUAAAUUAAAGAAUAAAUAAGUGAUCUGGAGGGGCAGAAGCCCAGAGUCAACUGGAUUGGACCACCACAGCUUAUUUUUAGAGAGAGAAUCACAGAAGGGUAGGAGUUGCUGUUUUAGCUGGUCUCCUGCAUAGUAGAAACUCUCAGCAAAAGAUAUUUAAAUGAAUUUUUAAGUAAAUAAUUUUUUCAGUGAUAAAGAUCGGCAGCAUUUGUUUAUUCUGUACAUUUGUUCUUCUACAAACAAGGCACUAGACCCUGGUUAUACAGUGGUAAACAGAAUAGAUACAGUUCUUGCCCUCAUGGUGUGAUAAUGAAAUUUAAGGGGUUACUAUAUAGAGAAGCAAGAGGGAAUACUGAUCGCAAGGGAAUUGCAUUAAGUUCACAUCCUCACAUAGAUCUAGCAGUGGAACAUCAAUCCCAAUAAUCAGAUAAUAACCGCAACAAGGGAAAAAAGGAAGGUAGUAGGCCUCAAUUUAAACCAAUAAAUUAUGGAGUUAUAAAACUGAAACACAGGCAGACAAACUUGUAGAGACAGAAGGCAGAAUGGUGGUCGCCAGGGGCUCAAAGGAGAGAGAAUGGGGAGUCCCUGUGUAAUGGACCCUCAAUUUGAGUCUGGGAGGAUGAAAGAGUUCUGGAGAUGGAUGGUGGUGACAGUCACACAACAAUGUGAGUGCUCUUAAUGCUGAUGAAUCAUACACUUAAAAAGGAUUAAAAUGGUAAAUUUUGGGUUAUGUAUAUUUUACCAUAAUAAAAAGAAAACUAGAGGGGAAAAAAACCUGAGUCACACAAGGCACCCCCAAGAACAAAACUGCUGGUCCUGACUUUGUUGUUGAGUUCCUCACGCACAGCAUGGAGAUCCCCCACCAGCAGCAGGAUCUUCAAGGAAAGACAGACAACUAUAUUUGACAAAUGAGGCAUCAUUCAGUGACUAGCAAGGGACCUCAAGGACGCUGACAGCUCAUUUUUUACUCAAAUUCCCUUUCAGGAAAGUUCUCUAGGGUUAUAAGACUCAAUGACUUUUUUUUAAUUCUCUUACCUCCAAAAACACAAAGACAUUUUUACCCCUCGAGUGAAAAAGGCUCUCUUUGAAAAUCCCAGGGCACGACCACCAGAAGGGACUUCAGAAUGAAACAGAAAUACUGGCAGAGCUAAUUGGAAAAAUGUUAAUUCUGCCUGUACACAGACCCAGCCCCUUCUUUACACAGGCACAAAGGAAACAAAAUCUAAAAUCAAGAUGCAGGGAGUAGAAUAGUAGGGGAGGGAGGGCCUUUAAAAUAUUAGGUAUGAGGCACACUAUACCAACAUUCCUCUGAGUCCUACCCAGACUCGCAAGACCUACCAAUCAUUCUUCUGGAAACCAAGACUAGAAACAGUAUCCCUGCCAAGUCAGUCAAGUUGCCAACAUUUAUGACCGUGGGUACAGGAUACUAGUAGAUGAUACAAAAGAAAAAGUCUCAUCCUUUGCCCUUCUGGAGCUCAUAAUGAGAAGGAUAAUUAUUGCACCAAAUAUUUUGCCCAUGGCAUUGGAACACAGUGAUGAAAAAGGCACAGGCUCUGAAAUGAAACAAUGGAUCAGGGAUGUAAUCCCAACUCUCCAACUUUAUAGCUACAUGACCUUAAUAGUACUAGCUAAAUUACUUAAAGCUUCCCAUGCAGCAGGACGUUUGGUCUACAAUCCAACCCAGUUAAUCCUCACAAACCCAAUGAAGUAAAUAUUAUUAUUAUUUUACACAUAAAUUCAAGUUAAUUUCCCUGAGCCUCAGCUUCCUGGAGGGAUUAAUGCUUACCUCGUACCACUGUUUUGAAAGUUAAGCAAGUUAAUGUGUAAAAUAUAAGAUACUAGGUUCUCAGUGAAUGAAUGCUGAGACCAUCAUUUAAUUAUUUUAUGCCUAUAGAAAUAGCACACAUUUGAAAAGUUAUUCUAGGAGGGCAAUUUAGAGAUCACCUCUUUUGCAUACAUACUGUCUGAACUGUUUAUAAAUACGAUUUAAUUCAGCAAAUGUAUAUACAAGACACUGUACCAGGCACUGCUAAAUACACAAAGCUACGGGACACAAUUCCUAUCACGAAGGGGUCUGGAUUCCAGAGAAUUUGUAAGAAAAUAAAUUCUAGCUUAAAAUUAAGUCAGGUAUCCAAAGGCCUAAGGAUGGGGGCUUAGCGUGAAAUAUCCCUAUUCUGGAGUAUAAUCUGUUAACAUUCUGCAUCAUUGUUUUCUCCUAUAACCGCAAGAAAACUUUUUUCCCCCAUGUAAUGACUUCCGACAAGUUAAAUACCAGGUAAGUUCACCUGAGCAUAGUUGCUCUUGUUUUUCACAUUAACAUGGCACAUAUUUUAGAAACACCUGGACCAACUGAAUACGUGCUGAUUUCCAAUCAUUAGUAUGCAAUCCUCUUAAAAAAAAAAAAAAAAGGUGAGCAGCCAACGUUCAGACAUUCUGUUUAUAAUGACAACCUAAAUUAUCAUUGAAACUCACUAUGAUCUGUUAUAAUUAUCAGAACGAAUGAAAAUAAAUGCCCAACAAUGGAAAAGCUUGUUAUUCGUUGCACAUGAUGAUGUGCCUUCAAUUCCUAGAGAGAUUUCCCAAGAUAUUUAUGGUGAAAUACACCCAGAACACUGAUCUCAAUUGGAAAUCUUAUAGUUUGGGAGAAUGCAGGAAAUUUCCCCAGGGAACUAGGAGAUCUAUGAUAUAAGGUCCUGAGUAUUCCCACAGUAAAUAAGGACUGAGCAUGUAUAAAAUGUUUGAGAUAAUUUAUAAUAACAGAACACCUGACAUGGUAAUUAAUGUACAUUACAAAAUGUUUCCCAUCUCAUUCAGCUAAAUUCCACAAAAGUAAAGUUUUGAAACCUAUUAACUUGCUGAAAUAACAUAAUCAUGAACCAAAAUCCAUUACAUUUGACCACAAAAUCCCCAGUACUAUCACUGUCCUUUGUGUUUCCAGAGAACAAGAGCAAUACACAUAUGUGGUUAGAUGAUAUCAAUAUUUAUUCACACAAAUGUCUUUAAGCAAAGGCUUAAAGACAGCCUUUUUUUUUAAAUAUCUAGAGAUUUCAGUACAACUAAACUUGAAAUCAAGUUAUAAAAUUGAUGUUGAAAAAAAAAUAAAAAAUAAAAAAUAAAAUAAAAUUGAUGCUAUAUGCCAUACAUAAUGCUUUCAACCAAGUUUCCAAUUUUUUCAAUGCCUUGUUAAUACCUACAAUUAUAUUCCAUUUUAAUUGUAUUCAUUUCAAUGUUAAACACCGAGGUCACCUGACAAUAAUUACUAAAAGUUAGUCUCAUCAUUGUAGAUUAAGCCAAUGCCAGUCUCAGUAGGAUACUGGGAAUUCACAUUUAUAUGAAAAAGCUUCAUGUUAUUAAGUUGUUAAUAAAUGCCCACCAAUGCCAAGUUCUACACUGGCACAAGGCAUGUGACUUCAAAACGUGUUGGGAAAAGCAACACACACAAAGGUAAGAGGUGAAAUACAAUGUGGACAGUGCUACCCUAGAGAUAUAUAAAAGCCCCGCAGAAACAGAGGGAUGGUGCCCUCACCAAGUCCCCAUCCCCUCUUUUCUAUCUGGAGAAGAGCUGAAUCAUGAAGGACAAAUAAUAGUUCUGUGAGAAAAAAAUUAAAACAAACCAACAAUAGGAAAGCACAUUCCGUAUAGAGAAAGAGACAAGACACAUGGCCUAGCGGUAGGAAUGCGCAUGGUGCUCCAGAGAAUGUCAAUUCGUAAUGUGAGUUGCAGCAUAGAGGGUACUGGGAAGGGGCCAUGAGGUGCCAUCAGAUGAGUAAGAGGACAGUAAUUACCAAACCAGACUGUGAAGUUUCUUCCAUGCCACGCUAUGCAGUUUAGCCUCUAUAAUACAGGCAACAGGUGGUCAUGUAAAUUUCCUCCUUGUUUUUCCCUUGAAAACAAUUUCAAUGAAAAUAUACCCCUUUACUCAUUUACUCAAAGGUAUGGGCUAAGCACCAUUUCUAUGCCAGGCAUUUUGCUAGACCAGGGAUCAGCAAAUACCAUACAGGUCAAAUUUUUCUUGCUGCCUGUUAUUGUAGAACCCAGAGACUAAGAAUAAUUUUUACAUUUUUAAAUGGGUGAAAAAAAUUAAAAGAAUACCAUCUCAUGAUACACGAAAAUUACAUGAAAUUCAAAUUCUAAAAAUUCAAAUCCGAAUCCAUAGAGUUUUGCUGGAACACAGUCACGUUCGUUCCUUUGCAUAUUGUCUAUGGCUGCUCUUGUGCUACAACGACAGAACCGAGUAGUUGCGUCAGUGACAGUACAGCCCACAAAACCGAAAGCAUUUACCUAAAUUAGAAAAAGUUUGCUGAUUCCUGUGCUAGACAACAGCAAACAAAAUAAAGUCUAAUUGUGGACUUCCUUUCCUGAGCAAGGAAGCAGACCCAUACAAUUUAGUAUAAUAAGUACUGGGAGACAAAUAACGCCAGAAUAUUGUAAGGACACACAAUUGGGACACAUAACCCAAAUUGUGGCAAAGGACUGUGGUUAAGGAAAAGCCAAUGAAAUUGGAUUAGAUGAAAUUAAAAGAUCAAAUCACAAGGAGCCUUACAUAUCAUGCUAAAGACUUCACAUUUCAUUUUGAAGGCAAUGGCAGGCCUCUGUGGGAUUUUAAAGAAGGCCUAUGACAUGAUCAGUCUUAUAUUUUAAAACAGCCAUCCUGAUGGCAACGUAUCUAAUUGUACUUAAUGCUUUCUUCUAGUAAAGCAAACACAACACCGAGAGGUAAGGAAUAUUGACUCCAGGAAGAACCGAGAAACAUUCUCAUCAGGCAACCAUCAUUUGUAUUCAUUUUCUCUCUCUUAAUAAAAAUAAUAGCAAGAGUAGCUACUACUAAAAAAAAAAUAAAUAAAUAAAAUAAAAUAAAAGAGUAGCUACUACUUACUGUUACUAUGUAUUCAGCACACCUAAAGUGCUCUAGAAAUAUUAACUCAUUCAAUCCUCACUCAUAUGACCUGUGCAAGCAAUUCUCAUUGAGCUGGAUACAUAAAACAAUAUGAUCAUAUUUAACUGUUUUCUGAAUGAAAUCAUUUAUAGGGUUCAAACCACAUCUGUUUUCUGUCACUGGCUAAGUAUGUUCAACACUUGUAGCAUAACUAACUCCCUUUGUGAAGCUAGACAGACAAGUAGUUGACUAAUCAACCCAUCACCUACUACAACUAUGUACUAAGUAGCUAACACGCAUCAGGAAAGGUGCUGAGGAGAAGGUGGCAUAGUUCCCAUCCCCAAGGUUUCAACCACUCAACGAGGAAAAUAAUCACCACCAACCUCAGACUUGAAACACACCGUUCACGCCAUCAACCCAGGAUUGUGCUGUCAAACACACCUAAUCCUUGAAAUGCUCCGUAUUUCAGUUACCUGCUGAGUAACUUUGUGGGUGGGUGUUUCAGUAAAGUGGGAGAAAAAAAAAAAAAAAAAAAAAAAAAAA
rnacentral:lncRNA from 1 species